rnacentral:rRNA from 1 species
GACGAACGCUGGCGGCGUGCUUAACACAUGCAAGUCGAACGGAAAGGCCCUGCUCUUGUGGGGUGCUCGAGUGGCGAACGGGUGAGUAACACGUGAGUAACCUGCCCUUGACUUUGGGAUAACUUCAGGAAACUGGGGCUAAUACCGGAUAGGAGCUCCUGCUGCAUGGUGGGGGUUGGAAAGUUUCGGCGGUUGGGGAUGGACUCGCGGCUUAUCAGCUUGUUGGUGGGGUAGUGGCUUACAAAGGGUUUGACGGGUAGCCGGCCUGAGAGGGUGACCGGCCACAUGGGGACUGAGAUACGGCCCAGACUCCUACGUGAGGCAGCAGUGGGGAAUAUUGCACAAUGGGCGGAAGCCUGAUGCAGCAACGCCGCGUGCGGGAUGACGGCCUUCGGGUUGUAAACCGCUUUCGCCUGUGACGAAGCGUGAGUGACGGUAAUUGGUAAAGAAGCACCGGCUAGCUACGUG